rnacentral:rRNA from 1 species
UACGAAAGGGGCUAGCGUUGUUCGGAAUUACUGGGCGUAAAGCGCACGUAGGCGGCUUGGUAAGUUGGGGGUGAAAUCCCGGAGCUCAACUCCGGAACUGCCUUCAAAACUGCUAGGCUAGAGGAUGCGAGAGGUUGGCGGAAUUCCGAGUGUAGAGGUGAAAUUCGUAGAUAUUCGGAAGAACACCAGUGGCGAAGGCGGCCAACUGGCGCAUUUCUGACGCUGAGGUGCGAAAGCGUGGGGAGCAAACAGG